CCUACGGGAGGCAGCAGUGAGGAAUAUUGGUCAAUGGACGAGAGUCUGAACCAGCCAAGUAGCGUGAAGGAUGACUGCCCUAUGGGUUGUAAACUUCUUUUAUAUGGGAAUAAAAUGUUCCACGUGUGGGAUUUUGUAUGUACCAUAUGAAUAAGGAUAGGCUAACUCCGUGCCAGCAGCCGCGGUAAUACGGAGGAUCCGAGCGUUAUCCGGAUUUAGUGGGUUUAAAGGGAGCGUAGGUGGAUUGUUAAGUCAGUUGUGAAAGUUUGCGGCUCAACCGUAAAAUUGCAGUUGAUACUGGCAGUCUUGAGUACAGUAGAGGUGGGCGGAAUUCGUGGUGUAGCGGUGAAAUGCUUAGAUAUCACGAAGAACUCCGAUUGCGAAGGCAGCUCACUGGACUGCAACUGACACUGAGGCUCGAAAGUGUGGGUAUCAAACAGGAUUAGAUACCCUAGUAGUC
rnacentral:rRNA from 1 species